rnacentral:rRNA from 1 species
AACGCGAAGAACCUUACCUAGGCUUGAAAGCAGUCUAAACCAGUGAAAGCUGGGUACCCGCAAGGGGGGCUGUACAGGUGCUGCAUGGCUGUCGUCAGCUCGUGCCGUGAGGUGUUUGGUUAAGUCCAGCAACGAGCGCAACCCCUGGGUUUAGUUGCCAGCACGUAAUGGUGGGAACUCUAAACCAACUGCCUACGCAAGUAGUGAGGAAGGUGGGGAUGACGUCAAAUCAUCAUGCCCCUUAUGUCCAGGGCGACACACGUGUUACAAUGGGAUAGGACAACGGGCAGCAAGUUAGCAAUGACAAGCUAAUCCCUUAAACCUACCCUCAGUUCGGAUUGGGGUCUGCAACUCGACCCCAUGAAGUCGGAAUCGCUAGUAACCGCGGAUCAGCCAUGCCGCGGUGAAUACGUUCCCGGGCCUUGUACACACCGUAGAGAC